ACGGUAACAGGAAACAGCUUGCUGUUUUUGCUGACGAGUGGCGGACGGGUGAGUAAUGUCUGGGAAACUGCCUGAUGGAGGGGGAUAACUACUGGAAACGGUAGCUAAUACCGCAUAACGUCGCAAGACCAAAGAGGGGGACCUUCGGGCCUCUUGCCAUCGGAUGUGCCCAGAUGGGAUUAGCUAGUAGGUGGGGUAACGGCUCACCUAGGCGACGAUCCCUAGCUGGUCUGAGAGGAUGACCAGCCACACUGGAACUGAGACACGGUCCAGACUCCUACGGGAGGCAGCAGUGGGGAAUAUUGCACAAUGGGCGCAAGCCUGAUGCAGCCAUGCCGCGUGUAUGAAGAAGGCCUUCGGGUUGUAAAGUACUUUCAGCGGGGAGGAAGGGA
rnacentral:rRNA from 1 species